rnacentral:rRNA from 1 species
GAUGAACGCUGGCGGCGUGCCUAAUACAUGCAAGUCGAGCGAACGGACGAGAAGCUUGCUUCUCUGAUGUUAGCGGCGGACGGGUGAGUAACACGUGGAUAACCUACCUAUAAGACUGGGAUAACUUCGGGAAACCGGAGCUAAUACCGGAUAAUAUUUUGAACCGCAUGGUUCAAAAGUGAAAGACGGUUUUGCUGUCACUUAUAGAUGGAUCCGCGCUGCAUUAGCUAGUUGGUAAGGUAACGGCUUACCAAGGCAACGAUGCAUAGCCGACCUGAGAGGGUGAUCGGCCACACUGGAACUGAGACACGGUCCAGACUCCUACGGGAGGCAGCAGUAGGGAAUCUUCCGCAAUGGGCGAAAGCCUGACGGAGCAACGCCGCGUGGGUGAUGAAGGUCUUCGGAUCGUAAAACUCUGUUAUUAGGGAAGAACAUAUGUGUAAGUAACUGUGCACGUCUUGACGGUACCUAAUCAGAAAGCCACGGCUAACUACGUG